rnacentral:miRNA from 1 species
AGUUGGCAUGGCUCAGUCCAAGU